rnacentral:rRNA from 1 species
UACGUAGGGUGCGAGCGUUGUCCGGAAUUAUUGGGCGUAAAGGGCUCGUAGGCGGUUUGUCGCGUCGGGAGUGAAAACACCGGGCUUAACUCGGUGCUUGCUUUCGAUACGGGCAGACUAGAGGCAUGCAGGGGAGAACGGAAUUCCUGGUGUAGCGGUGAAAUGCGCAGAUAUCAGGAGGAACACCGGUGGCGAAGGCGGUUCUCUGGGCAUGUCGUGACGCUGAGGAGCGAAAGUGUGGGGAGCGAACAGG